AGAGUCUAAAGCAGGACUAACCACAAGAGUGAAACUCUCAUCAGUUUUUUGUUGUGUGAACAGGCUAAUAACAGGGUAACACAGAGCAUCCUAGGACAAACUCGCAGUUCAUGGGUCAUAUCUGUUAGAUGACAAAUUUCCUCAAAAAUGGCCUUGAGGAAACAAGAUGCAAAGAAAAUCGAGAGUCUGAAUUCAGAAAAGAGAUCAGACUCACCUGAACCCAGCUGUGUGUCCACAAAGAGUGACCUGUCAUUGGGCAAUCAGUUACACUUCAGAGAGGGUAAAAG